UACGGAGGGAGCGAGCGUUGUCCGAAGUUACUGGGCGUAAAGCGCGCGUAGGCGGGGGAUUAAGUGAGAAGUGAAAGGCUGGGGCUCAACCCCAUGCAGUGCUUCUCAUACUGGUCCUCUUGAGGGCGGUAGAAAGAAGCGGAAUGGCUGGUGUAGCGGUGAAAUGCGUAGAUAUCAGUCGGAACACCGGUGGCGAAGGCGGCUUCUUGGGCCGUUUCUGACGCUGAGGCGCGAAAGCCAGGGGAGCGAACGGG
rnacentral:rRNA from 1 species